rnacentral:rRNA from 1 species
AAAUACUACCCAGUGACCGAUAGCGUAUAGUACUGUGAAGGAAAGGUGAAAAGGACCCCGGGAGGGGAGUGAAAUAGAACCUGAAACCUUGUGCCUACAAGCACAUAGAGCACAUCAACGUGUGAUAUGGUACUUUUUGUAGAACGGUCCGGCGAGCGAUUGUAUGUUGCGAGCUUAAGGUCUUAAGGACUGGAGGCGUAGCGAGAGCGAGUCUGAACAGGGCGUUCAGUAACAUGCAAUGGGCCCGAAACCGGGUGACCUACCCAUGAUCAGGCUGAAGUGAAAGUAAAAUUUCAUGGAGGGCCGAACCGACCUCCGUUGAAAAGGCGGCGGAUGAAUUGUGGGUAGCGGAGAAAUUCCAAUCGAACUCGGAGAUAGCUGGUUCUCCCCGAAAUAGCUUUAGGGCUAGCCUCAUAUUAGAUACCCGGAGGUAAAGCACUGAAUGGCCUAGCGCCCGAGAGGGUAGCGAAGCCUAUCAAACUAAGAAUGCCGGAGUAUUGAUGUAUGGGAGUCAGACAGUGUGAGAUAAAUCUCAUUGUCAAAAGGGAAACAGCCCAGAUCUACAGCUAAGGUCCCAAAUUGUAUCUAAGUGGAAAACGAUGUGGAAAUACGCAGACAACCAGGAUGUUGGCUCAGAAGCAGCCACUCAUUUAAAGAGUGCGUAAUAGCUCACUGGUCGAGCGUCUCUGCGCGGAAAAUUUAACGGGGCUAAGAUACAAACCGAAGCUUAGGCUGCAUCGUAAGAUGCGGGGUAGGGGAGCGUUGUGUAAGCGGAGAAACAGUAGCGUAAGCGGCUGUGGAGUUUACAGAAGUGAGAAUGCCGGAAUGAGUAGCGCGAAUGUGGUGAGAAUCCACAUGGCCGGAAACCUCAGGUUUUUGGAGGAAGGUUCGUCCGCUCCAAGUUAGGCGGGAGCUAAGGUCAGGCCGAAAGGCGUAGCCGAUGCACAGACGGUAGAGAUUCCGUCCCCACCGAAAGAUUUAAGCACAGGGACACUUUUUGAAGGUCGGAGCCAGGUGUUGGUUCUGGUAGUGAUCGAGGGAAAUAUAGUACCGAAGUCCGGCUGGAAGAGAGGCGAGAAAAGCUGUGUGUAUAUCUAAGGUGCCCGUACCGCAAACCGACACAGGUAGGUAGGAAGAAGAUUCUAAGGCCAACGGGAGAAGGGUUGUUAAGGAACUCGGCAAAUUGACCCCGUAACUUCGGGAGAAGGGGUGCUCCAGAGAUGGAGCCGCAGAGAAUCGGCCCAAGCAACUGUUUACCAAAAACACAGGUUUGUGCUAAAUCGAAAGAUGACGUAUACGAGCUGACGCCUGCCCGGUGCUGGAAGGUUAAAAGGAGAUGUGCAAGCAUUGAAUUGAAGCCCCAGUGAACGGCGGCCGUAACUAUAACGGUCCUAAGGUAGCGAAAUUCCUUGUCAGGUAAGUUCUGACCCGCAUGAAAGGCGUAAUGAUCUGGGCACUGUCUCAACAGCCCGCCCGGCGAAAUUGUAGUACCGGUGAAGAUGCCGGUUACCCGCGACAAGACGGAAAGACCCCAUGGAGCUUUACUGUAGCCUGAUAUUGGGUUUCGGUGUUGCAUGCACAGGAUAGAUGGGACGCUGGGAAAGAAGCGCUUUGGCGUUUCUGGAGCGGACGUUGGGAUACCAUCCUUGCGACAUUGGAAUUCUAACCUGCGCCUCUGAAUCGAGGCGGGGGACAUUGUCAGGUGGGCAGUUUGACUGGGGCGGUCGCCUCCUAAAAAGUAGCGGAGGCGUUCAAAGGUUCGUUCGAUCUGGACGGAAACCAGAUGAUUGAGUGCAAACGCAUAAACGAGCCUGACUGCGAGACUGACGGGUCGAGCAGAGACGAAAGUCGGAGUUAGUGAUCCGGUGGUAUGUGAGUGGAAAUGCCAUCGCUCAACGGAUAAAAGUUACCCUGGGGAUAACAGGCUGAUCUCCCCCAAGAGUCCACAUCGACGGGGA